rnacentral:rRNA from 1 species
CCCAGACUCCUACGGGAGGCAGCAGUGGGGAAUAUUGGACAAUGGGGGGAACCCUGAUCCAGCGACGCCGCGUGAGUGAAGAAGUAUUUCGGUAUGUAAAGCUCUCUCAGCAGGGAAGAAAGAAAUGACGGUACCUGACCAAGAAGCUCCGGCUAAAUACGUGCCAGCAGCCGCGGUAAUACGUAUGGAGCAAGCGUUAUCCGGAUUUACUGGGUGUAAAGGGAGCGCAGGCGGCCUUGCAAGUCUGAUGUGAAAGGCCGGGGCCCAACCCCGGGACUGCAUUGGAAACUGCGAGGCUGGAGUGUCGGAGAGGCAGGCGGAAUUCCUAGUGUAGCGGUGAAAUGCGUAGAUAUUAGGAGGAACACCAGUGGCGAAGGCGGCCUACUGGACGGUGACUGACGCUGAGGCUCGAAAGCGUGGGGAGCAAACAGGAUUAGAUACCCCAGUA